rnacentral:rRNA from 1 species
AGGUAGGAAUACCCGCUGAACUUAAGCAUAUCAAUAAGCC